CUUCCCAUUUAUUUGCUGCUAUAGUCUCUCAGUGACAUGAGCAGUUAUACGCAUGGGAUAGAAUAAUGUUGGACCAUUGUAAAUUGAGAUGGACUAACCAUUUCAUCUUUUUUGCAUGGUCUGGACAUUG
ensembl:snoRNA small nucleolar RNA, H/ACA box 20